GUGAGUCAUCGAAUCUUUGAACGCACAUUGCGCCCGCCAGUAUUCUGGCGGGCAUGCCUGUCUGAGCGUCAUUUCAACCCUCAUGCCCUAGCGGCGUGGUGUUGGGGCUCGGCCUGAACUUGCUUCGGGCCGUCCCCUAAAUCUAGUGGCGGACCCGCUGUGGCCUCCUCUGCGUAGUAGUAAUAUUUCGCAUGUGGAGAGCAGCAGGCCCCUGCCGUAAAACCCCAACUUUUUCAGGUUGACCUCAGAUCAGGUAGGAAUACCCGCUGAACUUAAGCAUAUCAAUAAGCGGAGGA
rnacentral:misc_RNA from 1 species